UAGGGUUAACUCUUCACUCUCUUUAACACACCACGACACGAAAUCACAACCCUCUAGUGUGUACAUGUGGUUGUCUGUGUAGAUACAGAAUGAAUUAGGGUUGCUUCAGUAUGACAUGCUUUUAAUGGAACGUGGUCCGAGAUGAGUUCAUUCAGCAAGACUGGUCUAUAAUGAACUGAGCUGGGUUCUUCAAGCAUUUUAUACAAAACCUAAACAAUAAUAAAUGCACCAUCGUGUUUUCUUGAUGUUUUGAUGUGUGUAAUGUUUGUUUAAUCCAACCAUCCAUCCAUCUUCUAUACCGCUUUAUCUUUCUUCAGGGUCACGGGGAACCUGGAGCCUAUCCCAGGGAGGAUCACAAGGCGGGGUGCCAAUCCAUCACAGGGCACAAUCACAUACACAUUCACACACCCAUUCAUACACUACGGAUACUUUGGACACGCCAAUCAGCCUACCGUGCAUGUCUUUGGACAGGAGGAGGAAACCGGAGUACAUGGAGGAAACCCGCACAGCAUUGAGAGAACAGGGAAACUCCACACACACAGGGCCACGGUGGGAAUCAAACCCCCAACCCUGAGGCGAAUGUACUAAUCAAAAGCCACCGUGCGCCCUGUUUGUUUAAUGUGAAAAGAAAUCUUCUUUUAGAGUAUCUGAAACGUCUCCUCAUGCUUCUAGUUUAUGCUUCUUUUAUCCGUCUACCCACAAGAUUACGGUCCAAACAAAUGAUGAAAGUAGGCUAUUUUUUCAUAAUGUGUGUUAGUGCAUAAAGUGCGUCAAGGGAAAGUUGAUAUUCUUCUCAUUUCGAAGUGAUUUACCUACAGUAUAUGGCCACAAGUUUGACCGAUCACAUGUACUGUAUAUAUGUUUGUUCCAGAUUUAGUCCCCCUUUACUGUUAUAAUAAGCUCCACUCUUCUGGGAAGGCUUUUCCACUAGAUUUUGGAGCAUGGCUGUGGGGAUUUGUGUUCAUUCAGCUACAAGGGAGGUCAAGCACUGAUGUUGGGAUGUCAAGGAGGUCUGGGGUGAACGCUGUGUUUUAGUUCAACUCAAAAGGUGUUGAAUGGGGUUGAGGUCAAGGCUCUGUGCAGGACACUUGAGUUCUUCCAGUCCAACCUUAACACAUCAUGUCUUCAUGGAGCUCGCUGUGUGCAUCGUCAGGCUGGAAUAAGUUUGGGCCUCGUAGAUCCAGUAAAUUGAAAUUGUAAUGUUACAGCAUACAAAGACAUUCUAUAUAUUUAUGUGUUUCCAACUCUGUGGCAACAUUUUGGGGAAGAACCACAUUUAGGUGUGAUGCUUGGCUGUCCGCAUACUUUUGGCCAUAUAGUGUGUCUUGUUUAGUGAGUAGCACCAUUCAUAGAUCCAAACAGUUCAUUUCCAUAUGAAGCUAUAUUAAGCGGCAUGUGCGGAUUCUCAGAUAAAGUUGCAAUCUAAUCAUUAACAGGUUUGACUUCCUUUGAACUGGAGCCACAAAAUAAAGCCUAACGCUGUACUUCCUUCUAACGACGUUUUUCCUCUUAAAAAACAAAAUCCGACGAAAACCAAGCAAACAGUAAACCCUAAUUUUACAUAUAUAGAAAUGGCCUUUUAUUGUCUGCUGUGAACAGUGAUCCUGCGGCUUUCAGUUCCUGUUCAGAAGAAACUUUAAAAAGAACAGAAAAUUAAAUGUUCUCCUUUUUUGGUUGCAAUACUAACAGCUAUCGGCUAUUUAUUGAUAUUGAGAGAGAGAGAGAGAGAGAGAGAGAGAGAGAGAGAGAGAGAGAGAGAGAGAGAGAGAGAGAGAGAGAGAGAGAGAGAGAGAGAGAGAGAGAGAGAGAGAGAGAGAGAGAGAGAGAACGUGUUUACUAGCUCUGGGAGUCGAUUCUAUAAAGAGUCGAAUCCUCGACUCGGUUAGUCGAACCAAAAGUGUUGGAGUCGAUUCCAUCGAGUCAAAUGGAUUUGGCCCAUGUUCGCGUGCUGGUACAAGUAACAAAUACACGUGAGUGUAUAUCAUUAGAUAAAGCAUAAAGAAAUCUUAAUGUGUUUGUAGAACAUGUUACAAAAAUCCGACAAUAAAACAGUGUGACGAAUGAAAAGGUGUCUUAAGGUUAGCCAGCCAAAAUGUGACGACUCGCUUCAGGGUUGUGAUGGAUGUGGAGCUAUCCCAGGAGUUUUGGGCGAGAGACGAGAAUGCACCCUGGAUGAAGGCCAUUCAGCGCGCUGAGGCAUGGGAUCUCUCCUUCAUCUUAGGGCCAGAGUGGUAAUGUUAUGACUGCAGGCAGAUGGAGAAAGCUGCUUCUCUUUACUCAAAAACAAUCCAUUUCCUUCCUUCAUUCGUUCAUUUUUGCGCUCAAGUUCUCCUCACCCUAUCUAUCUCUCCGUCCCAUCCAUCCAUCCAUCCAUCCACCCACGUUUGAAUAGAUAGGUUAUGAAAAAUGUACAUCUUCGUUCAUUUACUCCACCCCGUUACCCCAACACAUUCACCCCUGUGACAUAUUUGGAAUAUGCUGCAAGUCACGUGUUCAACAGGAAGUUGCAUCAUCUGAAUUUACCGAAGAUCAUGGGAAGAAGAACAGAGUGUGGCUGCGUUCAGGACAUGUCAGAAUUACCAUCAUUGCUAAAUAACAACCCGGACGUUCAACUCGGAGCUGUUCACAUCCUUCGACUCGGAAUUAUGUGACGUUAGACGAAAUGGCCUUUGAUCUGUUUGAGGCGUCGUCCCGUACUUCCCAACCACAUGACUCUCCUGUCCACCUUCUCGGACGACGUGAUUGGUGGCUCUGCUCACCUUCUCUAAGGGUUAUGGCUGCACCUCCACGUUUUAAUCAGCUCUAAUGGAUCUGCUGGCUGGGAUUCAAGUCGUGAAUGGAAUCUCUGGCAGCUGCGGCGACUUAAUUGGAUUAAACUUCCGGGACCAAGGACAUGACGGAGGACGAACAAGGGACGCGAGAGGGUGGAGUCGCGUCAUCUACGUCACCGACUUCAUUAUCAUCAUCAUCAUCAUCAUCAUCAUCCCCAACCCCCCAACCUUCACCACCCUCAAGAAACUGUCGCAGUGGAGAGGAAAAAAAGCCCAUCCCGAUCAACCACCCCCCUUUCUUCUCCACCACCCACUCCUUCACACACUCCGCCCCCGACAAUAUAUCCGGAGCACUUAGCGGAAUGUCCUAGUGCGUCAGCUGACCUGUGGAGGCCCCGAUAGCGCCGAUCAGGACAGAGGGUACGGCCAUAAUGAUGCAGCCGAAGGCAGCCAGAAAGGAAAGGACUUGGGCGUAGGUAGCUGAAGACGCAGAAAGAACCCGCUGGAAAUAGACCUGCCAGGGAAUUCCCCCCAACAUCUAGGAACAAGAACGGCAUGGCUCCAGCAUUGAUUGAGCUCCCGGUGUUCCUUACCGAGGGCUGAUAAGAUGGCGGCGGACCAGAAGAUCUCCCCCAUGAGCGCGGGGAUGAAGAGCAGGCCGCCCAUGCGCUUUCCGUACAGCUGCUGGAAAGGGUCCAACAUGGUGACGUAGCCACGGGAGCGCAUGGGCUUGGCGAAGAACAGACCACCUUAAUGUCAGGGGAAUACAGAAUAUAGAUAAGAUGAUGAUGAUAAUGAUGAUGAUGAUGAUGAUGAUUGAUAAUUAGACAUGAAUGAGAGGCAGGGGCACCGCUAGGGUUUCUGGGCCCCCUGGCUAAUCUGUACUCUGGGCCCCAAGCCCCCACCCCCCCAAUUAUCUUUUCUUAUUGCCAAGUGUGAAAACAAUCAUUAUCAAUAAACAUAACAAUUAUUGCACAUUCAAUAAGAGACUAUAUAGAACUAAAUAUGAACAGUUUAUUAAAUUAACUGAAAUCAUGCAUUUAUAACUAUAUACAAAUAUAUACCAUUGUUCUCUCUCUCUCUCUCUCUCUCUCUCUCUCUCUCUCUCUCUCUCUCUCAUAUACACAGACACUAUAGAAACUCUGUCUGGAUGUCUUUACAAGCUAUCGACUUGUAAUUUCUUAUUACCCAAGAAUCAAGAAACUGUACAAUUAUUAUUAUUCAUUGAGUGAAUAAUUCAAUUCAAUUUAAUUUGUAUAGCGCUUUUAACAACAAUGGACAUUGUCCCAAAGCAGCUUUACAGAAAUAUAUGAGUUCGGAAUAUAAAUUUUACAUUUAUGGAUUUUUCCCUAAUGAGAAAGCCGGAGGCAACGGCGGCGAGGAAAAACUCCCUGAGACGAAAUGAGGAAGAAACCUUGAGAGGAACCCGACUCAGAAGGGAACCCGUCCUCAUCUGGGUGACACCGGAUAGUAUCAUUUAUAAAUAAUUCCUUCUAUACUACAUGUUCAAAUAGUGCAGAUGUGUAACCAGGAAAAUCUAUUACAGUUUUACAUAAGGUCUGUUUUGUUGAACUUCUCCACUGUUCACUGAUGGAGACUUGAGCACAAAACUGUCCGUGGCAAUUGCAGCGCUGAGGCUAUAAUAGCGAUUUAUAGUCCUGGCCAUCAUCGCAUAACUGUUCACACGAGUUGAGGUCCAAAGCCUUCCCCCAUGGUCUUCAAGUGACACCAUCCUCAGCAAUCCCAGUGAUCUUUAAGCUGCACCACGUGGGGAACACACCACGGAACUUGUACGUUUCACACACCAGCAGCUCCAGAGAGAAAUGUGGAAAUGAGCUAAAACAGUCACACGAUCACUGAACCAGUGAGUUGAAUUUGAAGAAUCAAAUCGGUUCUAUUCGUUUAUGAAUCAUUCAGACUGGUUUUAUCAACGGGAUUCUCCAAUACACUGAAAUGAACCGACUCAAAGAAACGAUUCACUCACGAAUCGGACAUCAUUACAACACUUCUCUCAUAAACUCACUCGGGACUGUCUGAGGGCAUUUAUUAUAGCGUGCUUCUUUAUAGAUUAUUGUGCAAAGAGGCCAUUUAAAUACCAAAAUCAUACAGCAACGUAUGGGGUUCUGCUGGGCCCCCGGUCUGACCAGGGCCUUUAGAAUCGUCCUAAUCUUCACCCGUUAUUGAGCCCCUGAUGAGAGGAUCCAGGAAGAGUAUUCAUGGAGCGUGCGCAUGGUGGUAAUAACAACAACAACAACAACAACAAUAAUAAUAAUAAUAAUAAUAAUAAUGAUAUUAUUAAUUAUCCUACCCACUACGAGACUCAUGGCGUAUCCAAAGGGAGCCUGCGCCCAGGCCAAGCCGAAACCGGGCAGAUACACAUACUCAGCCGUGCCGUUAAUGUAUCCACCUCCCACCCAUGUAGCUGCAAAUAUAAAACACACACACACACACACACACACGUACAGUUUAAACACUUCUAAUUUAACCUGACACAACAACUAAAUGGAUAAACUGCAGAAACACCGAGAUGUUAAAUAAUUGAAUGCGUUGAAACUGUAUCUAUAGCCUACACUCUCACAAGUAAAGGUACCAAACUGUACUUGUCCUUGUUGCUGGCGUGGAACCAUUUUUCCCCCCUUUAUACCAUACAGCAUUCAU